rnacentral:rRNA from 1 species
CCCUUAGAUGUUCUGGGCCGCACGCGCGCUACACUGAUGCAUUCAACGAGCCUAUCCUUGACCGACAGGUCCGGGUAAUCUUUGAAUCUGCAUCGUGACGGGGAUAGAUUAGUGCAAUUAUUAAUCUUCAACGAGGAAUGCCUAGUAGGCGCAAGUCAUCAGCUUGCGUCGAUUACGUCCCUGCCCUUUGUACACACCGCCCGUCGCUCCUACCGAUUGGGUGUGCUGGUGAAAUGUUCGGAUCGGCCGUUUGUCGCGGUUUCCGCGUCAUGUGGCUGAGAAGUUCAUUAAACCCUCCCACCUAGAGGAAGGAGAAGUCGUAACA